rnacentral:rRNA from 1 species
GUCGAGCGGUAACAUUUCUAGCUUGCUAGAAGAUGACGAGCGGCGGACGGGUGAGUAAUACUUAGGAAUCUACCUAGUAGUGGGGGAUAGCUCGGGGAAACUCGAAUUAAUACCGCAUACGACCUACGGGAGAAAGGGGGCAGUUUACUGCUCUCGCUAUUAGAUGAGCCUAAGUCGGAUUAGCUAGAUGGUGGGGUAAAGGCCUACCAUGGCGACGAUCUGUAGCUGGUCUGAGAGGAUGAUCAGCCACACCGGAACUGAGACACGGUCCGGACUCCUACGGGAGGCAGCAGUGGGGAAUAUUGGACAAUGGGGGCAACCCUGAUCCAGCCAUGCCGCGUGUGUGAAGAAGGCCUUUUGGUUGUAAAGCACUUUAAGCAGUGAAGAAGACUCCGUGGUUAAUACCCACGGACGAUGACAUUAGCUGCAGAAUAAGCACCGGCUAACUCUGUGCCAGCAGCCGCGGUAAUACAGAGGGUGCAAGCGUUAAUCGGAAUUACUGGGCGUAAAGCGAGCGUAGGUGGCUUGAUAAGUCAGAUGUGAAAUCCCCGGGCUUAACCUGGGAACUGCAUCUGAUACUGUUAGGCUAGAGUAGGUGAGAGGAAGGUAGAAUUCCAGGUGUAGCGGUGAAAAUGCGUAGAGAUCUGGAGGAAUACCGAUGGCGAAGGCAGCCUUCUGGCAUCAUACUGACACUGAGGCUCGAAAGCGUGUGUAGCAAACAGGAUUAGAUACCCUGGUAGUCCACGCCGUAAACGAUGUCUACUAGUCGUUGGGUCCCUUGAGGACUUAGUGACGCAGCUAACGCAAUAAGUAGACCGCCUGGGGAGUACGGCCGCAAGGUUAAAACUCAAAUGAAUUGACGGGGGCCCGCACAAGCGGUGGAGCAUGUGGUUUAAUUCGAUGCAACGCGAAGAACCUUACCUGGUCUUGACAUAUCUAGAAUCCUGCAGAGAUGCGGGAGUGCCUUCGGGAAUUAGAAUACAGGUGCUGCAUGGCUGUCGUCAGCUCGUGUCGUGAGAUGUUGGGUUAAGUCCCGCAACGAGCGCAACCCUUUUCCUUAGUUACCAGCGGGUUAUGCCGGGAACUCUAAGGAUACUGCCAGUGACAAACUGGAGGAAGGCGGGGACGACGUCAAGUCAUCAUGGCCCUUACGACCAGGGCUACACACGUGCUACAAUGGUAGGUACAGAGGGCAGCUACACAGCGAUGUGAUGCGAAUCUCAAAAAGCCUAUCGUAGUCCAGAUUGGAGUCUGCAACUCGACUCCAUGAAGUAGGAAUCGCUAGUAAUCGCGGAUCAGAAUGCCGCGGUGAAUACGUUCCCGGGCCUUGUACACACCGCCCGUCACACCAUGGGAGUUGAUUGCACCAGAAGUGGAUAGCUUAACCUUC